rnacentral:rRNA from 1 species
GACAGAGGGUGCAACCGUUGUUCGGAAUUACUGGGCGUAAAGCGCGUGUAGGCGGCAAGGCAAGUCGGAUGUGAAAGCCCGCGGCUCAACCGUGGAAGUGCACUCGAAACUGCCUAGCUAGAGUCUCGGAGAGGAAGGUGGAAUGCUUGGUGUAGAGGUGAAAUUCGUAGAUAUCAAGCAGAACACCUGUGGCGAAGGCGGCCUUCUGGACGAUGACUGACGCUGAGACGCGAAAGCGUGGGGAGCAAACAGG